AACGCACGAGACCUGCGGACCUGCGGAAGGAUCAUUAAUGAAUAAACUUGGUCAAGCUGUUGCUGGUCUCUCGAGACAUGUGCACGCUUGCCACCAACUUUAACCACCUGUGCACCUUUUGUAGACUGGAAACGUUUCUCGAGGCGACUCGGAUUGAGAAUUGCUGCGCGCAAGCCAGCUGUUCUUGUGUUUCUCAGUCUAUGUUUUCAUAUACUCCUAAUGUAUGUAAUCGAAUGUAUU
rnacentral:misc_RNA from 1 species